rnacentral:rRNA from 1 species
AUUGAACGCUGGCGGCAUGCCUUACACAUGCAAGUCGAACGGUAACGGGCCUUCGGGUGCCGACGAGUGGCGAACGGGUGAGUAACGCAUCGGAACGUGCCCAGUGGUGGGGGAUAGCCCGGCGAAAGCCGGAUUAAUACCGCAUACGACCUACGGGUGAAAGCGGGGGACCUUUCGGGGCCUCCCGCUAUGGGAGCGGCCGAUGUCCGAUUAGGUAGUUGGUGGGGUAAUGGCCCACCAAGCCGACGAUCGGUAGCUGGUCUGAGAGGAUGAUCAGCCACACUGGGACUGAGACACGGCCCAGACUCCUACGGAAGGCAGCAGUGGGGAAUUUUGGACAAUGGGGGCAACCCUGAUCCAGCCAUGCCGCGUGCGGGAAGAAGGCCUUCGGGUUGUAAACCGCUUUUGUCUGGGAAGAAAAGGCCAUCCCUAAUACGGGUGGUUCUUGACGGUACUGGAAGAAUAAGCACCGGCUAACUACGUGCCAGCCGCCGCUGUAAAAC